rnacentral:rRNA from 1 species
AUGAACGCUGGCGGCGUGCCUAAUCCAUGCCAGUCGAGCGAACGGACGAGAAGCUUGCUUCUCUGAUGUUAGCGGCGGACGGGUGAGUAACACGUGGAUAACCUACCUAUAAGACUGGGAUAACUUCGGGAAACCGGAGCUAAUACCGGAUAAUAUUUUGAAUCGCAUGGUUCAAAAGUGAAAGACGGUCUUGCUGUCACUUAUAGAUGGAUCCGCGCUGCAUUAGCUAGUUGGUAAGGUAACGGCUUACCAAGGCAACGAUGCAUAGCCGACCUGAGAGGGUGAUCGGCCACACUGGAACUGAGACACGGUCCAGACUCCUACGGGAGGCAGCAGUAGGGAAUCUUCCGCAAUGGGCGAAAGCCUGACGGAGCAACGCCGCGUGAGUGAUGAAGGUCUUCGGAUCGUAAAACUCUGUUAUUAGGGAAGAACAUAUGUGUAAGUAACUGUGCACAUCUUGACGGUACCUAAUCAGAAAGCCACGGCUAACUACGUG